AUGAACGCUAGCUACAGGCUUAACACAUGCAAGUCGAGGGGCAGCAUGAACUUAGCUUGCUAAGUUUGAUGGCGACCGGCGCACGGGUGAGUAACACGUAUCCAACCUGCCGAUGACUCGGGGAUAGCCUUUCGAAAGAAAGAUUAAUACUCGAUGGCAUAGUUCUUCCGCAUGGUAGAGCUAUUAAAGAAUUUCGGUCAUCGAUGGGGAUGCGUUCCAUUAGGUUGUUGGCGGGGUAACGGCCCACCAAGCCUUCGAUGGAUAGGGGUUCUGAGAGGAAGGUCCCCCACAUUGGAACUGAGACACGGUCCAAACUCCUACGGGAGGCAGCAGUGAGGAAUAUUGGUCAAUGGACGAGAGUCUGAACCAGCCAAGUAGCGUGAAGGAUGACUGCCCUAUGGGUUGUAAACUUCUUUUAUACGGGAAUAAAGUGAGGCACGUGUGCCUUUUUGUAUGUACCGUAUGAAUAAGGAUCGGCUAACUCCGUGCCAGCAGCCGCGGUAAUACGGAGGAUCCGAGCGUUAUCCGGAUUUAUUGGGUUUAAAGGGAGCGUAGGCGGACGCUUAAGUCAGUUGUGAAAGUUUGCGGCUCAACCGUAAAAUUGCAGUUGAUACUGGGUGUCUUGAGUACAGUAGAGGCAGGCGGAAUUCGUGGUGUAGCGGUGAAAUGCUUAGAUAUCACGAAGAACUCCGAUUGCGAAGGCAGCCUGCUGGACUGUAACUGACGCUGAUGCUCGAAAGUGUGGGUAUCAAACAGGAUUAGAUACCCUGGUAGUCCACACAGUAAACGAUGAAUACUCGCUGUUUGCGAUAUACAGUAAGCGGCCAAGCGAAAGCGUUAAGUAUUCCACCUGGGGAGUACGCCGGCAACGGUGAAACUCAAAGGAAUUGACGGGGGCCCGCACAAGCAGUGGAGUAUGUGGUUUAAUUCGAAGCAACGCGAAGAACCUUACCAAGGCUUGACAUAUACAGGAAUAUGUUAGAAAUAGCAUAGCUCUUCGGAGCUUGUAUACAGGUGGUGCAUGGUUGUCGUCAGCUCGUGUCGUGAGAUGUUAGGUUAAGUCCUGCAACGAGCGCAACCCCUGUGAUUAGUUGCCAACAGGUUAAGCUGGGAACUCUAAUCAGACUGCCGGUGAUAAAUCGGAGGAAGGUGGGGAUGACGUCAAAUCAUCAUGCCCUUUAUGUCUUGGGCUACACACGUACUACAAUGGCUGUAACAGAGAGAAGCAACAUAGAGAUGUGAAGCAAAUCCCAAAAAGCAGUCUCAGUUCGGAUUGAAGGCUGAAACUCGCCUUCAUGAAGCCGGAAUUGCUAGUAAUGGCAGGUCAGCAUACUGCCGUGAAUACGUUCCCGGGCCUUGUACACACCGCCCGUCACACCAUGAGAGUUGGGAAUACCCGAAGCCUGUGAGCCAACUAAUUUAUUAGAGGCAGCAGUCGAAGGUAGAAUCAAUGAUUGGGGUG
rnacentral:rRNA from 1 species